rnacentral:rRNA from 1 species
CAGCGACGCCGCGUGAGGGAUGACGGCCUUCGGGUUGUAAACCUCUUUCAGUAGGGAACAAGGCUGCACGUUGUGUGGUUGAGGGUACUUGCAGAAGAAGCGCCGGCUAACUACGUGCCAGCAGCCGCGGUAAU